AUUGAACGCUGGCGGCAGGCCUAACACAUGCAAGUCGAGCGGAUGAAGGGAGCUUGCUCCUGGAUUCAGCGGCGGACGGGUGAGUAAUGCCUAGGAAUCUGCCUGGUCGUGGGGGAUAACGUCCGGAAACGGGCGCUAAUACCGCAUACGUCCUGAGGGAGAAAGUGGGGGAUCUUCGGACCACACGCUAUCAGAUGAGACUAGGUCGGAUUAGCUAGUUGGUGGGGUAAAGGCCUACCGAGGCGACGAUCCGUAACUGGUCUGAGAGGAUGAUCAGUCACACUGGAACUGAGACACGGUCCAGACUCCUACGGGAGGCAGCAGUGGGGAAUAUUGGACAAUGGGCGAAAGCCUGAUCCAGCCAUGCCGCGUGUGUGAAGAAGGUCUUCGGAUUGUAAAGCACUUUAAGUUGGGAGGAAGGGCAGUAAGUUAAUACCUUGCUGUUUUGACGUUACCAACAGAAUAAGCACCGGCUAACUUCGUG
rnacentral:rRNA from 1 species